rnacentral:SRP_RNA from 2 species
GCCAGGCAUGGUGGUGCAUGCCUGUAAUCCCAGCUACUUGGGAGGCUGAGGCAGAAGAAUCACUUGAACCUGGGAGGCAGAGGUUGCAGUGAGCCAAGAUCAUACCACUGCACUCCAGCCUGGGUGACAGAGUGAGACUCUGUCUCAA